CUUAUUCCUAAUAUAUUUUUUUAUUGAACAAAGUAACAGAUGAAGUUUUAAACCCUAAUCUUAAAAAUGUUCACCCUCCUUGAAUCGCUGCUUUGACACCAAGCCAGGAAUGGCGCCGUAUCAGUAGUGUUCUGUUAGAAGAUACUGCAGUUCUGUUUUUACUUGUGCAAAUGCUACAAGAAUUGGGUUCUGUAUAGCACACAACAUAAUCUCUUUAGCUGAAAAAAGGGAAUAAUAAUUUGGCAGUUUGAGAAUUCAGUAUGUCAAUCAGUUGACGUUGUACUCCACAUGGAGGGGUCUUGUCCCUCAACUGCUCAAAUCCAAAUGAACCAACACCUGAAGAGCCAAAGGAGUUGUGCUAAUUAUUGGAAGAGGAUUCAAACCUCAGGACAAGCAUAGGUUCUACUUAUCCAAUAGUCUCUUCCUCCAAAAGCUGGCUUACAUGUAUGAAGAGUUCAAUGAGGUCUCUUCAGCAGGCUGGUUUUGGCAUGCAACAGAUCCAUGGCACUGAAGGCUUGGGACAUCCUUUUGGUGAUGCGAUUUCCAUGAAACUGGAGGACUGAGUCAAUUGGAAUAUUGAGCUGCUAAGCACAUCACAGGGCUAACACUAAUCCUGAUUUUGUGACCAUAGAGGCUAGAGCUUUACGAGUAAUGCCUGGGACUCUGGCUGCUAAAUAUGAAGAGCUCGGGGGUGAAGUGAAAUGGAUGGGAAAGGCUGAUAAGGUGAUAUAGUCACAUUGGUCUGGUACCCUUGUCAACUCGAUUAUAUAUGUUGAUAUUUAAUUACCUCAAUAAGUAUUGCAUUUGCACAGACUCACAGCCUUUUUCUAGGUUUACCUCCAAGUAUCUAAAUGUGCUCGCUCAAGAUACAGAGACUUUCUAUAGUAUUUAUCUUUGCUAGUAAUAUUGUAUUCAUCAGUGUACAUUUUCUUCAAUCGGUGUCCUUCCCUGACUAGUGAAGUUUGCACCUUUUUACAUAUCAUCUACAUAUUAGCUAUGGCCUAUGUUGGUGUAGACCCUGCUGAUUCUAUUGCAGUGAGUGACUCUCUUCAUCAUGACAUCAAGGGCGCUAAUGUAGCUGCAAUGAAAUCAAUUUUAACCACUGGUGGGAUCCAUGCCACUGAACGAGGGAUUGGUAGUUUUGCAGAUAUAGCAGAUUAUCAUCCGUGCAAGCUCUUGCUUCCAAAUUUGAUGCUUACCCAUUAUAUGUGUUGCCUGCGUUUGCAUGGUAGAAUCUCAUUGUAAGCAUUCAAGUUUCUUGUCACUCUGUAGUUGUCUUGGGAUCCUUCAGUCACUUCAUCAACUGUGUAAAUUAAUUGAUGAUCCAAUGUUUGUUUGUUGUGAAGUUGAGAACUCUAAAGAUUAGUGAUAAUACGAUGUUUGUUUGUUGUGAAGUUGAUGUGGUUGUC
rnacentral:lncRNA from 1 species